CAGGGGGCAUCCCCGCCAAAAAAGGCUGAACCGGCGGCGCCAUCAAGAGCGCGGCCGGCGAAU
rnacentral:ncRNA from 1 species